GAUGAACGCUGGCGGCGUGCCUAAUACAUGCAAGUCGAGCGAACAGACGAGGAGCUUGCUCCUCUGACGUUAGCGGCGGACGGGUGAGUAACACGUGGAUAACCUACCUAUAAGACUGGGAUAACUUCGGGAAACCGGAGCUAAUACCGGAUAAUAUAUUGAACCGCAUGGUUCAAUAGUGAAAGACGGUUUUGCUGUCACUGAUAGAUGGAUCCGCGCCGCAUUAGCUAGUUGGUAAGGUAACGGCUUACCAAGGCAACGAUGCGUAGCCGACCUGAGAGGGUGAUCGGCCACACUGGAACUGAGACACGGUCCAGACUCCUACGGGAGGCAGCAGUAGGGAAUCUUCCGCAAUGGGCGAAAGCCUGAAGGAGCAACGCCGCGUGAGUGAUGAAGGUCUUCGGAUCGUAAAACUCUGUUAGUAGGGAAGAACAAAUGUGUAAGUAACUAUGCACGUCUUGACGGUACCUAAUCAGAAAGCCACGGCUAACUACGUG
rnacentral:rRNA from 1 species